rnacentral:rRNA from 1 species
CACGUAGGGUGCGAGCGUUGUCCGGAAUUAUUGGGCGUAAAGAGCUCGUAGGCGGUGUGUCGCGUCGGCCGUGAAAGCCUGCAGCUUAACUGUGGGCGUGCGGUCGAUACGGGCAUCACUGGAGUUCGGCAGGGGAGACUGGAAUUCCUGGUGUAGCGGUGAAAUGCGCAGAUAUCAGGAGGAACACCGGUGGCGAAGGCGGGUCUCUGGGCCGAUACUGACGCUGAGGAGCGAAAGCGUGGGGAGCGAACAGG